rnacentral:rRNA from 1 species
ACACUCGACACCUACGGGAGGAGCAGUAGGGAAUCUUCCACAAUGGACGCAAGUCUGAUGGAGCAACGCCGCGUGAGUGAAGAAGGUCUUCGGAUCGUAAAACUCUGUUGUUAGAGAAGAACACGAGUGAGAGUAACUGUUCAUUCGAUGACGGUAUCUAACCAGCAAGUCACGGCUAACUACGUGCCAACAGCCGCGGUAAUCUGAGCGGGCUGGCAAGGC